GCCACCGAAGCCCGACGCGAGAUCGGGCAUGCUCCGAACCAGGGUACUGAGGAGUAAGUACGAAGACAUAGAGGAACGAUGUCAGCUCUGCAAGGAUAAAGCACCGGAAAAUAUUAGGCAUGUAAUUCUCGAAUGUGAGGGGUUGGGAACUCGACGAUUGUGCUCGCUCGAAAAUGCACUGGGUUUCACCGCAGACGACGGCGACGAACCGGAAACGGAAGUCAGGGAAACGAAAAGAAGACUAAGAAGUUGGUUUCAAAAGACACGACGAUCUACCGGACAAGAGACUGUGACAACAGAGGCAGACUGAGUGGAAGAAACAGUGUAUUCUUUGUAGUCUUGUGAACUUUUUAUUUCUUACUGCAUGUCCGCUCCGCCGGAGCUGGACCCUCGUUACAAAGAGGCCCGCCAGGGGUGCCAAACCAUCCAUCCAUCCGCCAUGUUUAAACGUGAAAUUUCUUAGCGCAAUGUUUAAAUUGAGGCGUGUUUCUUCCACUGCAUAUUGCAGUUGACAUCAGUUGAUCGGGAACAUGUUCCUUGGGUUGUUCACCAUGGCCAUCAUCUGGGAUAGCACGAAGGCUCAUCUAAAAAGUAAGUCACAGAACUAUCUUCUUCACGUUCUUGAAGGGAGACUUCGCGAGGACACGAAAAAUAUUAGGUGAGCGUCAUGCCGAACAGUAACCACCCCCUCGAUACCGAAUACAACAUUCACGUUCAUUUUGUGCGAGUAAUUAUUUAAUAAAUGAUGACGAAAGCAAACCGAAAUGCGACGGUUCGUCCAGAGGAGGGUACUGUGAUGUCACCCAGCGUUAUCGUCUGCUUCAAAACCUGCAUUCUUCCUUGCGUUUUGAAGGAGACGAAAAAAGGAUGUGCCGUGUAGUUGCCAUUUCCAUCAUGUAGCGAAUCUCUUGCUGCAACCAGAACCGUUUGUUACCAUAGAUUGAGAAGUUACCCGUCAAAAAGACCUCGUUACAAGUUAAGUUACCGUGUGCAAAAUGUAACUAAGUUAAUAACAAAAUUCUUCAGCCUGAAAUGUAACUCGCAGUUACUGAGUUACUUAAAAAAAGAACGAGUUACUUCCAAGUUACUUCGGACACAAAAUAGCAUUACGCAGGUGCAGCGCGCGUGAGCAGUUGAGUUAGACCUUGAGUUGCCUGCGGAGGAGUGCAACACGCUUAGAUCGUUUUCGUUUAUGUCCAACAAUAGACACCUCCCUGUUUGUAAACAAAUGACGUCCUAGUGCUCGACAGCGCCAAAAUUUGGUAGAAUUGAACUACGCUCGAAGCUAGGGGUGAAUAAGGUCGCGCCCGAAAGCCACGCUCUUGAGGGGAUUACGAUAUGGUCCCUUAAGGGGACGCGACCCCGGGUCCUACUUUUCUUUCAAUGCGAGGCAGUGACCAAGUGCCCGUUCAUGGAACCCAGCCCUCUCCCUCCGAUUUGUUGCGGUUUCAGUCUGCCUACCAAUGUCAUGGUGACGUUUCUCUGGUAGAGGUAUAAUCGAACGCUUUGCAUCUUUACUCCCUGUGGGCGCACAAUGAUUAAACUUCAUUGCAAUGGCAGCGGUUCUUACUUCUUGAAUAAAAUACUGUCAUUGAUUGAAUAUCACGUUUUAUGGUAAAAGAUGCCAUGGAGGAACCGGAUAGAAAGCAAGAAAAUAUGUGGAUGUGAGUGAAAAGCGAGUUAACAGUAACUUGGAACUUAACUUAAGUUACUAAAGGCAAAGUUACCCGAAGUGAAGAGUGCCCGGCCUGGCAUCUCCAGCUGUGGCUUACGCCAUUCUAGCCUUAACCAAACAAAUUUAUUAGACAAGUUUAUAAGAGGGUGCUGGCAUAUUCUGUUGGCACAGAGCAAACAGGAUGCCGGGUCAGGGACCCAGGUCGGUGCAGAGCUCUAACGUGUGUUACUCUCAUUGCGUAAGCACGGAGGCCAAGCAGAAUUUUACAGAGCUUGAACUUUGUGAAACUUGAAUUUUCCCAAUGUCUGAAUGGGAAGACUUUAUGCACCUCCUACAGGGCGGCUACUUCAUGUCUAAAAAUUGCAUACCAUGAUCAAGCCAGCAACAAUCCAAUCCCAAUUGAAACUACCAUAGCAGGAAAAAUAUGCAAAGAAGGAACAAUACAGCAUCUUGCAAAUUUUGCUUAAACGACUACAUGAUCUGUGCAUGGAAUGUAAAAGGAAUAGGCAGAGCACAAAAUGCACAACUGAACUAGAAAAAAGAAAAUCUAACUUUGGCAAACUGCAGAAGUGGAUCUUGUAAGGAUGCUUGUUUCGCUUUCAAAAACAAAGUGACAAAACACACAUUGAAACAACUGCGCCAGAUUGAUUUCGAACGCUGUUAUGACGGGCCUUCCCAUGGCUUAUUUCUCCUGAAGGGACUAGCCAUUCCCAUGGUACGUUGGCCAGUUUUAGUUUCCAGGUUGCCAGAAAAAGACUGCCUUCGUGACGUCACUAUCCGGUCUUACCCGUUCCUACUUACCUUAGGAAGGAGACCUAUAGUUUGGAAACUCUGAUGCUAACUUCACCGAGUAACUCUACCCGGUUUUGAAAUGGUGCUUCAAGUGCAAUGCUACUCCCGAGUGAACUCGAGUACAUUUAGGUAUGCACCCUAUGUGUCCCAGCAAAAGGGAAAUGAAUCUCCAAGAAGGCAAGGGUACAUUACAUACACACAAAUGGACCUACCUGCUUUCUGAUUGAAGGACGCUAUUGUUUUCCCAGGCUGCACUGUACAGUACGUUCUGAAAACAGAGGAUGGCCACUGUAUUAUAUCAUAAAGCUAAGUGAUUGAAAAUAGAAUUAUUUGUGCAAAAUAUUGUGCCUAAAGACAUCGGAUGAGUGCAGGAGAACAGAAGGUAGUGUUGAGAGCCACGCGAUCUGUCAAUAAUGUUAACAUUUAAAUGGGCUUUGCAUCGUUGUAGUGCCUGUCCUGCAACGAAUAGCGUUACAGGCUUAAAAAGCCUUAACUUCAGUCUUAAACUUCAAGGAAGAGUUUCACAUUUCAACUGAAGUUCAGCAGUAUGUGAACAUUUCCCUGUGAGAAUGCAGGAACAGGAAAGCAUACAGGGCUUCAGAAAAUCCCAGGGAUCUAGUGGCACUUUGAAAUAUUGGAACUUUGUUAUCAGAAAGGGGGAGUAACUCCCCAAAACCCUUUGUUUCUCCUGUCCCGGCUGCAGUCCAUGAAGUGUAAAGAUCACAGAAAACUAAACAUGAAAGGCUAGUCUCUCUUCCCAGUGACAAAAAAUGUCCACUGUGCACAAGGAGCACUGGGAUUUCUUGAAGUUGUCUAUUGUACUGCAGGAGAGCUUGGUCUUGUGCCACAAAACUCCAUUUUUAUAUGGAUACGGCUGUGUGUUGUAGGCCUGAUUGGGAUGCAUUCUUAAAGCCUCUAAUUCAAGUCAGAUUGCAUCCCAUCAAUUUUAGUUUAAAAUCAGACUGUUAGAUACUCAGAAAGGCUGAUACUAUUAGUAUAGACGGCUACAGCUGCACUGAUGAGUAUGAUUUUGCUGUUUGUUGGCAGGAAUUCUACCUUGUAGAGUACCUGCAUUUCAGAUGUAGGUACCACAGUAUACCCUGCCCACCAAUUCCUUUAGUUUCAUUGUCGCUCACUGGUACACGUGUUAAUAUCCCCUCACAUUAGUAGAGCUUAGAGAGGAAAGCGCUAGCUAUGAGUGCUCUGCACCGUAACUUUUAUUAUUUUUUUUUUAAUGCAUACCAUCUUGUAUGUCAGUCUUGAAAACCAAACAGGCACCCCAUGUGAUAAUCAAUAGGCGUGGCUCAAGGCAAUGGGCCUUCACAUGUACAAAGCAUAACAAAAAAAACAUGACACAUACCAAGUUUUUAUGACAAUGUUAAGCAUGACACACGUUGAAGUGCCCACACACACUUCACACUUGUGCAAGCAGAAAGUAUUUUUCUGGGUUGCCGAGCACAACCAUGCUAUCUAUUCGAAGCAUUAGUGGCUCUUAAGCUGUAGGUUUACCUUUUAUUAUCGGAGUGAUUCGUAUUGCGUAACAUUAUUUCUGUUUUGCUGAAGUUGGGUAUCUCCGCGAAUGUCAUCUUGGCACUGUGAAAUUCCUGUGCGCAUAUCUAGUUUAUGUGCCGUUCCAUUUUAACCUUGGAAUCGUUUUCCGUCAUUAGUAUUUGGCGAUCAUUCCUCAAAUUCUUCCUGAGAGCAGUUUAUUACGGAAAGCUUAGGUAGCGACGAUCGUGUCUGUGGGUUUGUUUGCUGCAAAAAUAUUAAACUUCUCCCACUCAGGAACAGAGUUGGUGUUGCGCCAUUGAGCAUCCAAUCAAUCAAUCAAUCAAUCAAUCAAUCACUCAAUCAACCAACCAAUCAACCAACCAGGAAGAGUGGGAAGAGCAUUGAUGUAGGGAUACAGGGACACACAACACGCCGGCAUGCUGGUCUCCUUUCAACAUGGCGUUUGCUCCGCCGUCAUGGCCGGCAUCGUCUGCUCGCGGGGAUGAUUUCGUUCCGGACGAAUUCUGGACGUUUGGUCUAUGUGUAAUCACAAAUUGCGCAAAACUAAUUGAUUAAUAAUACUUGUGUAUACAAUAGGGAUAUAGGAGAUACUACUUCGGCAUACAUGGUGAACAUCGACGAGCACUCAGACUGUGGGGGCUGUGGGGGUGAGACGAGGACUUGAUUGAUCUUCUGAUAUGUCGAUGAUCGCUAAUCAAGGCUUCCCAAGAUGUAUUCCUCGUUACUAUAUUUUGAUUAUUUGUUUAUUUGAUUGCCUUUUGUAAGUGUGGAAUUUUUCUUUUAUUCCCACGGAGGGGAUUUGCAGCAGAUGGCGUGAGAAGCGCAAACAUCAAUAGAGAUAAUGGACAUACGAAUGCCGGGUCGAGUAGACGUUAAUAAAUUGAGGUAUUCGUGAGGAUAUUAUUAUAAUGUGAACCAUUUGUGUGAUAAACAAGCAGCCAUGAUGAUAUUGUUACCGAUUGGCGGAUUUGGUUGCCUUAUGAUGUGCUCAUGAUGGCAACUUCGCGUGGGACGGCGGCUGCUCACCCGGAACUUUGGUAUUCGAGGUUUGAUGGGGUCCAAUUGUCACGAAAUUCAACGUUAUCGCUUCUCGGCCUUUUGGCUAAGAUCAAAGUGUAGUAUCUGUUCUUAUCAGCUUAAUAUCUGAUACGAGUCCUAUUUGGACUCAAGAUAUUAAACUUAUUUUUGGAAUGCGGCGGAGUGCUUGAAGCUUGCUUCACCUCUGCCACGGGUUGGCCCGGUAUUGCAGUACCUCCGGGAUCGGCCCACU